rnacentral:rRNA from 1 species
UAGGGAAUAUUGCAAAAUGGGCGAAAGCCCGAUGCAGCAACGCCGCAUGGGCGAUGAAGGCCUUCGGGUCGUAAAGCCCUUUUUGAGGGGAUGAGGAAGGACAGUACCCUCAGAAUAAGCCUCGGCUAACUACGUGCCAGCAGCCGCGGUAAAACGUAGGAGGCGAGCGUUAUCCGGAUUUACUGGGCGUAAAGCGCGUGCAGGCGGAUUGGAGAGUUGGAUGUGAAAGCUCCCGGCUUAACUGGGAGAGGUCGUUCAAUACUUCCAGUCUUGAGUGCAGUAGANGGAAGUGGAAUUCCGGGUGUAGUGGUGAAAUGCGUAGAUAUCCGGAGGAACACCAGUGGCGAAAGCGGCUUCCUGGACUGUAACUGACGCUCAGACGCGAAAGCUAGGGUAGCAAAC